GACGAGGUGGACAAACGUUAUUCGGAUUUACUGGGCUUAAAGCGUGCGUAGGCGGCUCAGAAAGUUGGGUGUGAAAGCCCUCGGCUCAACCGAGGAAUUGCGCUCAAAACUACUGAGCUUGAGUGAGAUAGGGGGAGAGCGGAACUGAUGGUGGAGCGGUGAAAUGCGUUGAUAUCAUCAGGAACACCGGUGGCGAAGGCGGCUCUCUGGAUCUUUACUGACGCUGAGGCACGAAAGCUAGGGGAGCAAACGGG
rnacentral:rRNA from 1 species